GACGAACGCUGGCGGCGUGCUUAACACAUGCAAGUCGAACGGAAAGGCCCUGCUUUUGUGGGGUGCUCGAGUGGCGAACGGGUGAGUAACACGUGAGUAACCUGCCCUUGACUUUGGGAUAACUUCAGGAAACUGGGGCUAAUACCGGAUAGGAGCUCCUGCUGCAUGGUGGGGGUUGGAAAGUUUCGGCGGUUGGGGAUGGACUCGCGGCUUAUCAGCUUGUUGGUGGGGUAGUGGCUUACCAAGGCUUUGACGGGUAGCCGGCCUGAGAGGGUGACCGGCCACAUUGGGACUGAGAUACGGCCCAGACUGCUACGGGAGGCAGCAGUGGGGAAUAUUGCACAAUGGGCGGAAGCCUGAUGCAACAACGCCGCGUGCGGGAUGACGGCCUUCGGGUUGUAAACCGCUUUCGCCUGUGACGAAGCGUGAGUGACGGUAAUGGGUAAAGAAGCACCGGCUAACUACGUG
rnacentral:rRNA from 1 species